rnacentral:tRNA from 1 species
AGCGAAUUGGUGUAGCGGUAGCAUAGCGGCUUCCAAACCCGUUGGCAGGGGUUCAAAUCCUCUAUUCGUUGC